rnacentral:lncRNA from 1 species
UUUUUAACCAUUAAUGUAAUAAUUUUGUGUAUAUGUGUGUGUCUAAUGACCUUGUAUCUCUGUGUAGCCUCUUUGUUGGCUCUAGUGGUGGUGGCGUGUGUGUUAGGGGGAAUUCUGCUCAUUGUGAUUUUGGCUGUACUCAUCUACAUCUGUGUGACUCGAAGCAAGAAGAAGUCAAGCAGCAAUUAUUACAACAGCCCGUACCCUGCUGAGGAGUUCCAGACCACGUGGCCCUCUCAGGACAUCGCCCAUAUUCCACGAGCUACUGUGACAUCUAGUUCCAGCAUUGAUGCCACUGGCAACAGUCUAGAGAUGUCUGAAGGGCCGGGCAAGAAAGGCCACAGUAAUGGAUUGUCGGGCUCGUAUGACCUCAGAACAGAUGGCAUGAGGACCUUUAAGGACAUAAACCCCACACGCUACUCUUAUCUGGUGGGUCAUGAAAACCCCUACUUCAUACAAGGAGAUGAGAAGAAAUGAGGAAAACAGCAGAGAAAGCCAGUGGACAAGAAAAGAGUGCAAUAGCGACAUGGAUUAUAAAAAGGCCUUGGAUCAAAAUGUUUCAGGAACAUUAACACUGUCAAAACCAUACAGCUGAUCACAGACUCAAAGUAUAUACUCAAACAGCAUUUGAGAGAUACGUUUAUAUAUAUAUAUAUAUAUAAACUUUUUACAGUUUUUAUUCCAAAUCCCUUUCACCCAGGAUAAAAUGCUCUUUUCUUAAAAGUACAUUGAUGAUUGGGUUUUUUCUAAAAAGGUUCCUGUGGCUCAGUGGUAGAGCAUUGCGUUAGCAGCGUGAAGGUUGUGGGUUCAAUUCCCAAGGAACACACAUACUGAUAAAAAAUGUAUAGCCUAAAUGCACUGUAAGUCGCUUUGGAUAAAAGCAUCUGCUAAAUGCAUACAUUUUACAUUUAAUUUCUACCACAAGCUUGAUAAACGUGUCCUGUGUAUGACAAUGUGAGAUGAAUGCUUAACCACUCAUCUGUUGAUAUCUUUGUUUUUUGUCACUUAUGUUUUGUCUGCAGAUUUCAUAUUCAGAGUUUUGUUAUCUGACAGAGAUCAUGCAUAUGUUACUGUGGUUUUCAACUCAAAAUACGUUAUUAUAAAGGAUGUAAUAUUAAACCAUAUUUUGGCAUAUUUUAUUUAAAUUUCUCAUCUGUGGAAGCGAUAAGGGCAGAAUAUCCAGUAGUUCUGAUGCAUCUAAUCUAUAUUCUGACAGUAACUGCACUUUGUAGGAGAGAGCAUGUCUUGUGUCUAUGUGUGUGUGUGUGUGUGUGUGUGUGUGUGUGUUUUAAGUUUUAUCUAUCACAAAGACAGAACUGGUACAUUCAGUUAUGAAUUUUUGGUUGAUAUCUCCUCCAAAGAAUUAAUUUAUUUUAUGCCAGGACAAUGCAUGCCACCAGAAAUUGAUCUCUGUGCCUGACUGUGAUGUUGUCUUUUGAAUAGGAGAAUUAUGCAAUGACGAGGAGUUAACAACCAUGUCUCCUCUGUAGUCGUGCCAAUAAUUAUAUUUAUUUAAAUCAGAACAUGACAUUGUUUACUCAGCUGUCUGUUUGCUUCAUAUAUAUACUUAUUUAUGUGUAACUGGAAUAUUUUCUAUCUGUACAUAAAGCUUUUGUAAAAAAAAAAAAAAAAAAC